rnacentral:rRNA from 1 species
GAUGAACGCUGGCGGCGUGCCUAAUACAUGCAAGUCGAGCGAACAGACGAGGAGCUUGCUCCUCUGACGUUAGCGGCGGACGGGUGAGUAACACGUGGAUAACCUACCUAUAAGACUGGGAUAACUUCGGGAAACCGGAGCUAAUACCGGAUAAUAUAUUGAACCGCAUGGUUCAAUAGUGAAGGACGGUUUUGCUGUCACUUAUAGAUGGAUCCGCGCCGCAUUAGCUAGUUGGUAAGGUAACGGCUUACCAAGGCAACGAUGCGUAGCCGACCUGAGAGGGUGAUCGGCCACACUGGAACUGAGACACGGUCCAGACUCCUACGGGAGGCAGCAGUAGGGAAUCUUCCGCAAAGGGCGAAAGCCUGACGGAGCAACGCCGCGUGAGUGAUGAAGGUCUUCGGAUCGUAAAACUCUGUUAUUAGGGAAGAACAAAUGUGUAAGUAACUAUGCACGUCUUGACGGUACCUAAUCAGAAAGCCACGGCUAACUACGUG